rnacentral:rRNA from 1 species
AUUGAACGCUGGCGGCAUGCCUUACACAUGCAAGUCGAACGGUAACAGGUUAAGCUGACGAGUGGCGAACGGGUGAGUAAUAUAUCGGAACGUGCCCAGUCGUGGGGGAUAACGUAGCGAAAGCUACGCUAAUACCGCAUACGAUCUACGGAUGAAAGCGGGGGAUCGCAAGACCUCGCGCGAUUGGAGCGGCCGAUAUCAGAUUAGGUUGUUGGUGAGGUAAAAGCUCACCAAGCCUGCGAUCUGUAGCUGGUCUGAGAGGACGACCAGCCACACUGGAACUGAGACACGGUCCAGACUCCUACGGGAGGCAGCAGUGGGGAAUUUUGGACAAUGGACGCAAGUCUGAUCCAGCAAUGCCGCGUGCAGGACGAAGGCCUUCGGGUUGUAAACUGCUUUUGUACAGAACGAAAAGGUUUCUACUAAUACUAGGAGCUCAUGACGGUACUGUAAGAAUAAGCACCGGCUAACUACGUGCCAGCAGCCGCCGUAA